CUUUGAAUAGGCCCUGGGGUAAGACUGCUAGAAGGGCUGCUCUGAAGUUCCCCAGAUGAGGCAGUGGCCUGAGGAGACUGCAAGGGGAUGAAGCAGAUCUGGUGGAUCAGCCUGGGGACAUCAGCUGAACCAAACACGAGCUAAAUUAACCAGGCUUUCUUCCACACCUUUAUUUCAGCCUGCUCUGAGUGUGAAAUACGUGCAUGACAUGGCUCACACAACAGUGUAUGCUUUCAUCAAAAACAUUUUACUAAAUGUUGAUGCCAAAUUGAUGUCAAAACCCCAGAUUUGAAGAAGGAUGGAAUGGAAGUGGGAAGGUGGCUGGAGAGGGAGAGAAAAGCUGCUGCAGCUGAAGGAUGUAGCAGGAGAGUAUGGAAAAGCUCAGUGGGAGGAGAGGGGAAAGGCAGAGUGCCAGUGGGCAAAACAAAAGAGAACGGAGGACGAGCAAUGAGGUGAAAGGACAAGGUCUGGGGCUAGAAAGAGGAAAUUGCACAAAGGCACUGUCAAGAGGAAGUGUACAAACAUCCAGUCUUGUCAGUGUCCCAGCUGUGCUGACAUUCCCCCUCUCACUCUUUUAGUUGUAACGCCUGAUGUGACCUGCAGCCAUUCACAGUAAAAACUCAUUGUUUUGCAUCGUGUCACUGCCACAAAGCCACUGCAUUUUCGUUAGUGUAGUAAAGUCCAUGAAUUAUAUAUGUUUGCCUGUGUAGGCCUUGUUCCUUGCUCAGAUACAGGCACAGUCGCUGUGUGAACAGUCAAACAAAUUGAGCUGCACAAAGUGGGACAGAUUAUUCCCUGGUGCAUUAGCCAUAGGUGAACUUGACCCAAAGUUUUUAAAAUAACAUUUCCUUCUCUCUGUUACUAGCAAAAGCGUUAUGAGCUAUGAAUGGUGGAGCCAACUGAGGUCACUAAUUCCUUGAAAUAAGGACAUUAUAUAUUUAAAACUGUUUGCAAUCCACACAAGUUCAUUGUAGUUAUAGUCUAAUACCUUGAAUAAAGCACGCCUGUGAUUUCGGGGAGGACUCAGUACAGUGACUAUGCUGCAUUGCUGCAGCCACCCUGCGAGUGUCUGACCGUCUGUCCCACCAGAGCAGAGCCCACUGUGGUGUUUUCCAGGGACAGGCAUGGUUAUGAGAACUAAGGAGAGGUUAUGCAAACACUUUCAAUUCACUUCCAAAAUGAUUUAUUACUGGUUUCAGGUCAUGAGUAAAUUAAGUAGGUUAAUUGUUUUUUAUUUCCUCUGUACUUCAAUGGAAAGACAAGCAGAAAAACCCCUUGCAAAUUAAUCUGCCUUGAACACGGUCUGUUUCCUGGCAUUGUCAUUUUUGCUUCAUUUUGCUUUUGUUUUUGUGCUAGGUUCUUGCUUCAGUCUUGAGACACUAAAGAGAUACAGAAGACUGUUUUUCUCCAAGGCCCAAAUGUUGUGUAAACCACUUUCUCUGUGUAAGCCCAGACUUGAAACAACACAAGCAGCCUGGGAAGGGCAAUAGUUUCCUCAGAGAGGAACUGAGAAAGGAGAAACACUGAGAAGAGAGACUUUAGUUAAUGGGAAAUGCAUACUGAAGCAUCUAACAAAAACAUGGUUAAAAGCCCACAGUGUUACUGCCACUGUUGAGUGUUGUAUAGGAAGAAACUUUCAUGGUGCCCUUUUCAGAACUCAUCAUCGUGAAAUGCUUAAUGAUAAUGACAACAUUGACAUUGUCUUUCUCCAGUCUUUUAUCUUUGAUGAGCUGAUAGCCUGUCACACACAUGGUAACUAUUAAACUUUGUAAUAUUAACUUGGAAUAAAAGUGUGGGGAGAGUAGUUACUGGAA